CUAAGCAUAUCAAUAAGCGGAGGAAAAGAAACCAACAGGGAUUGCCCCCAGUAACGGCGAGUGAAGCGGCAACAGCUCAAAUUUGAAAUCUGGCCCCUAGGGCCCGAGUUGUAAUUUGCAGAGGAUGCUUUUGGCGAGGUGCCUUCCGAGUUCCCUGGAACGGGACGCCAUAGAGGGUGAGAGCCCCGUCUGGUUGGAUACCGAGCCUCUGUAAAGCUCCUUCGACGAGUCGAGUAGUUUGGGAAUGCUGCUCUAAAUGGGAGGUAUAUGUCUUCUAAAGCUAAAUAUUGGCCAGAGACCGAUAGCGCACAAGUAGAGUGAUCGAAAGAUGAAAAGCACUUUGAAAAGAGGGUUAAAAAGUACGUGAAAUUGUUGAAAGGGAAGCGCUCAUGACCAGACUUGGGCCCGGUGAAUCACCCAGCGUUCUCGCUGGGGCACUUUGCCGGGCUCAGGCCAGCAUCAGUUCGCGCCGGGGGACAAAGACUUCGGGAAUGUGGCUCCUCCGGGAGUGUUAUAGCCCGUUGUGUAAUACCCUGGGGCGGACUGAGGUUCGCGCAUCUGCAAGGAUGCUGGCGUAAUGGUCAUCAGCGACCCGUCUUGAAACACGGACCAAGGAGUCGUCUUCGUAUGCGAGUGUUCGGGUGCAAAGCCCCUACGCGUAAUGAAAGUGAACGCAGGUGAGAGCUUCGGCGCAUCAUCGACCGAUCCUGAUGUUCUCGGAUGGAUUUGAGUAAGAGCAUACGGGGCCGGACCCGAAAGAAGGUGAACUAUGCUUGAAUAGGGUGAAGCCAGGGGAAACCCUAGUGGAGGCUCGCAGCGGUUCUGACGUGCAAAUCGAUCGUCAAAUUUGAGCAUGGGGGCGAAAGACUAAUCGAACCUUCUAGUAGCUGGUUUCCGCCGA
rnacentral:rRNA from 1 species